CUUUUUUCUUUUUUUUUUUUGGUUGAAGUUGUAUUUGGCUGGCUUUGUUGAGGUCGAGAAGAGCAAGACGAGGUAAAUUGUAGCUUUCGAAGGUGUGGGAGAGUACCGACCAAGGAAAGUAUUAAGUUAGACCAGAAGAAGGCUUAUUGCUAAAUGGAUUUCUAAGCGAUUCAAAUAGAGUAAAUUGGUUGCAAGUUCUCCGCUUCAUAUUCACAAAAGGAAAAGUUGGCAUCUUAGCCUUUUGAAUAGGUUGGUUGCUACUUUAGAUGUUUUGGUGAAAACAAUGUCAUGAUAUACUAAUGUGGUACUGCUGAAAGGAGGAGAAAAGGAUAUCCUUUGUUGACUUGGAUGGGAACAUUGCUCUUCUGCUUUACCAAUUUAUGGAUUUGAUAUGGGGCAUUUGCUUUUGUUUUCUUCUUUUAAUAGUGUUGUUUGGGGAUCGAGGGAACUUCUUUUGGGUUUCCAGAAUCAUGGAAGCCCUCCAAGGAGAAUAAAUGAUGCAAUUAUGCCUCGGUUACUAUAGUGUUCUCCUAGCUGGAAAUGAAAGGUUACAGUAUAAGAAAUUUGUCUU